GUCUUUUUGAGUUUAAUAUAAAAGGUCUGACCUGCCCGGUGAAAGUUGAUUAAACGGCCGCGGUAUCUUGACCGUGCGAAGGUAGCAUAAUCAUUAGUCUUUUAAUUGUAGGCUGGAAUGAAGGGUUUGACGGGGGGGUGCUGUCUUAAUUUUAUUUUUUGAGUUUCAGAUUUCUGUGAAGACGCGGAGAUGGACCUAGAAGACGAGAAGACCCUUUCAAGCUUUAUUGGUGAGUAUUUAUUUAUGUGUUUGUAUUUUGGGUUUUUACUGAUUUUGUUGGGGCGAUGGGCAUUUAUUUUGUGACUUGCUGAGAUAGAUAUAUUUUUUGUUAUCUUUUGUUUUGAUCUUAUUUUUGCAUUUGUAAAGAGUUACUGGAGGGAUAACAGCGUAAUUUUACUGGAGAGUUCAUAUUGAUAGUGAAGUUUGCGACCUCGAUGUUGGAUUAAGAUUCCUAGUUGUUGAAGAGGGCAAAGUAGGUGGUCUGUUCGACCAUUAAAUUCUUACA
rnacentral:rRNA from 1 species